CUGAGACGGAAGCAGGGUGGAAACGAUAGGAGUGUGUGUGUGUGUGUGUGUGUGUGUGUGUGCGUGUCCUGACCUUUGCUCCACUGAGGCCGACCUGUUGUGGAAAGAAGGCACCAUGUUUUUCUUCUCCCUGUACAUCAUCGCCCAGCUAAUUGUUGCCGACGAUUUCUUCUCAUCCGACCCGAGUCGCUCCCUGUAUUUCUGGGCCUAACGGACGGGGAAAGGACACCGCGCGGAUAGCACGACCACUUUCGGGAGUCAUGAGGGGCCUCCCACAGGAAUCCGUCUUGAUGUAAAGACCGACGAAACGUCCGUCCAGCUCCAGUCCUUCGCUUUCCCACACUUCCAGCCCGGAGCGGCCGCUGGCAAAGCCAACACCUCUACGCGUCCCACCCUUGCUGCCAAAAAGAUGCCAACCUCUGCCGGGUGUGUGGUUGUUUUAGAAAGGGAAGCCCACCCGCUGCCCUCGGGGGGGGCGACACUGUCGUGUCAACACGGUCUCACGGAUCAGUGCCAGCUGAUCCCUGGUGCAGAACAGUGCGGUGAGGUGGUGGCAGCCAACGCUUUCCUCCGCCGACUGCACUGAAGAAACAACACCGGCGGCUGGGCCCACGCCAGCUUCCUGCCACCCGGUCAACCGUCUGGGAACAGCAGCCCCACACAGCUGGGGAGGGACACUCGGUCCUCCCUUUGAGCCCUUCACAGCAAAAAAACAAAAGGUUGCAGCACAAAUCAGCAGCACACGGCGUCCGACAGCCUGGACACGACUUGUGCUCGGUGUCUUCUGUUUCUCUGGGAAGGAGCUUUCUAAAGAGGUGAUGUCGCAGUGAUGUAAGCAGGGUUUACAUUUAAUGUGAGAACACGAAAAUACAUGAAAGUACGUGAAACAGAGCAGUACUCGUGUGAUUGGGGCCCCACAGUCAGUCUGCCCCUGCUGCCCCAGAAGCAUAUCAGCACACGGUUAGUCCCCUUCGACCCCCACGGGUCAGCAGACGGAGGGGGGGGGGGGGGGCCUCAGAC
ensembl:lncRNA